UAUUUUAUUUUAUACAUACCUAAUUCUCCACUUUUCAGAACUAGUAUAUGAUGUGGUCAUUUGAUGAGUAUUGAUUGAGAAAUCAAGUGUGUGUGUGCAGCUUUUUUUAUUCAAUAGUAGUAUAUAACUUCCCUCUUCAUUGCUAAAUCAUGAGAAAUUGAAUAAUCAUUAUUAACAUAUUAUUCAUGGGAAAUAUGAAGUGUUUGGAAUGGAGACUGAUCCAAGAUCUUUCCAUUUUCUUUCUUUUUUCUCUCUUCAUUUUUUCAGUGUGUGUGUGUUUUUCGUAUUCCUAUCCCCUUUGUUUUUUUGUUUUAUUUUACUACUUGUUUUUCUCUUCUUUUUUUUUUUUGGCUUAAAAUUAUUUUUUUUUUUUAAAUGGAGUAAUGAUCUCGGACCAGGCUUCAUUCCUCACACUCAUUUUCCAGCAGCUCAAACAAACAGCUCCUUGCAAAUGAUCAAGAAAAUAGAUAAGUAAAUUAUUUAUGUAUUUAUUUAUUAUUAUUAUUAUUAUUAUAUCUUUCGGAAACACCCUUUCUAUCUCUCUAAGAGGCAGAGCCACCUUUUAUCCUGGGGUUCAUCCUAAAACCCCAUUUAACAAAAAAUUAUGUACUAUUUUUACAUGGUUAAUUUUAUUUUUUUUAUUUUAUGUAUAUAUAAUAAAUGUUAAAUUUCUUCGGCUAGUUUGUAUGUUUACUUCUGAACUCUCUCAAUGAAUAUCUUGGCUCAGCCAUUGUCUCCGAGGUAGUGGUAAGGCAUGCAUGCAUCUUUAUUCUCCUCAGACCUCACUUGCAGGAUUUCACUGGGUACAUAUUGUUGUUGUUGUCAUUGAGCUGAGGGUCUAUCUGAAACAACGCCAUGAUCUACUUUUGAGGUUGAGAUGAGAUGAUUUUGGGUUGAUUUGUUGUUGUUGUCAGCUGGAUUUUUUCAAAUAUGGCUGAUAUUUAGAAAAAAAUGAUUGAAAAAAAUUCCUUCUCCGAAAGACAAAAAAAUAUAAGAAGAAAAGAAAAGCAAAAGAAGUUGCAGAGUCAAGCAAUAUUGAUGACGAUGUUGAGAAUUCUUCUGCUAAUGAAUCUGAAGAAGACAUGGAGGAAGAGGUUGUAUUUAAGAACAUUGAGCCAACUCAGAGGAAAGUGUCAAAGUUUAAAAUACUAGAGCAGAAUGAAGUUGAUGAUGAACGUUCAGUUGAUUCAGAUGAUGAUUUUCAGGAUCCACCACCAAAAGAAAUUUAUGAAGGCUUAAAGUGACGACGAAACACUAUUGAGGCCUGUUAGGGAAAGCAAGAUAAUAAGUGUCACAUAAGUAUUUGAAUUGUGUAGUGACAAGAUUUAAUUGGAUGUUGAUGUUAAUUUUUGAAAGUUACUUUAUGUUUUGAAGUGAAUCAAAGUUACUAAUUGUGAAGUGUAUAUAAGUUAUUUAUUUUAGUCUUUUAUGUUGAAUAUAUUUUCUAUAA